CCUGCCCCUAGAGGCAUUGCCUAUGUGGCUGCUGUGUCACAUAUGUGUCAGUAGGUGACAGAGAGGAAUGAGGCUAUGUCUAUGCUCAGUGUUCUGACCUGUAAACAUUUGAAUAAUUAAUAGCCUGACACU